AGCUCUGAGGUGUAUUACAUAUUAGAUUGCAAAUCUAAAGAAGCAAAUUAAACGUUUGCCGGGGCUU
rnacentral:tRNA from 1 species